rnacentral:rRNA from 1 species
CAGUAGCCACGGGAAUACGAAGGGUGCAAGCGUUAAUCGGAAUUACUGGGCGUAAAGCGUGCGUAGGCGGUUUGUUAAGUCUGUUGUGAAAUCCCCGGGCUCAACCUGGGAAUGGCAAUGGAUACUGGCAAGCUAGAGUGUGUCAGAGGAUGGUGGAAUUCCCGGUGUAGCGGUGAAAUGCGUAGAGAUCGGGAGGAACAUCAGUGGCGAAGGCGGCCAUCUGGGACAACACUGACGCUGAGGCACGAAAGCGUGGGGAGCAAACAGGAUUAGAUACCCCAGUAGUCCCUGUCUCUUAUAC